CCCCUAAAACCCUAGAAAGACACUUAAAAACAUCCCUAAACCUAUCUUCUUCUCUAGACAUUAGACCUAACCUUCAGCACCCUACACCUUCACCAACCUAGACACACAAGACUUAACUCUGGGGACAACCUAAAAAAGACCCUAAAAACAAAAAGCAGUCGUUUCUCAUCAUCUUAAACCAAAAAACCCUAAGGACCCUAUCUUCUUCACAAAAAGAAGCAGCCAUGAGAGAACCUUAGAACCUAGGAUUUACGCCACCAGAACUCGCUCCAGCAGCAACAGCCACCAAACUCGCCGGAAAUCCAUUCCCUCCAGAACACCGGCGACCCCUUCUUCAAAAAUAACACCCCGCUUCGUCUCCUUCACUCGCCGGAACUAACACCGGCAGUCACCAAAUCCGGUAGCUCCCUCUCGUUUUCUGGCUGGAGUCGUUCCUUCUUCUUCAUGGAGACCUCAAACCCUAGAAGAGACCUAACCCCAAGACUAAUUUAGCUGCUCUUCCUCCAUCUUGAAGCAGCAGAACAGCCGCCGUUAGAACCAGUGACCACAACAACCGCCUCCCUCACCGGAAUCUGGCCACCAGUCGCCACCACCCUUUCCUUAAAACCACCCGCCAGACCUCCUGCUCUAAAAGAGAACUCCAGCCACCGGCGACUAUCUUCAGUCCAAAACGAGAGCAGCGACCAUUCUAUAUUUAAUCCUUUAAUCAAAACAUACAAAGAUGGAUUGGAUUUUUCCGCUUCCUGUUGCCAUAUAUUAACAUAAGAACAGAAGCUGUGAAUCUGAAAUUAUCCCGUUUUCAAGUGUUUCUGGAUCUCAUCAGUCCUGCUAUUUUGUCUGUCGGUUUUAUGUUCAGAGAAUUGAAACAAUCAAUUUACGGCCAUACAAAGGUGUGGUGUCGCAGAAGCGGACAAGUGGACCGCAGGUGUGGUUUCACUGGUCGGAAGGUAUAAAAAGGGGACUUCAUGAUUUUUGCUCAUUUCCACCAUUUUCAUUUCGGACUUUGGAGCUUUUGGGGAGAUGUUUCAAGGGGAUUCGAGGGUAUUCACUGAGAUUCGGGACGUUCGGAGGCCGAGUCGAGAGGCAAGGGC